GCUCGCAAUACCCGGGCUCGCGCCGCCCGAGCCCGCGCGCGAAUCCACGAGAUGCCGCUGCGGGCCAGCGGAGGGAAAGGUGCGAGAGGCUAUUGGACAGCCCCGGCCAGGGAGGCCAGGUCCCUCGGCCCACCCAGGGCCUUUGGCCGCAGCCGGCGCCGAAGGAGCUCGUGGUCGUGCGUGUGGAAGGCCACAGUGCCUCCGGCCAGCCGUACCGAGAUGGCCGCUCGCCCUCUGGACUGUCAGCUUAUUGGAUUGUAGGCAAGCUUUGGGCUGAAGUCAUCUUUCUGGCCUCGCAGCCCCCACCCAACUCAACAUUUAGUGUAUGGCCAUUAAUUGAGGAGCAAGACUAGAAUAAGAAUAUUCUGGUGCAACUGGCAUGGUGGCACUCACCUGUAAUCAUAGCCCUCUGAAAGAUGAGGCAGAAGAAUCCUAUGUUUGAGACCAGCCUGAGCUAAAUACAGAGACCUUCAUUUUAAUUUUUUUAUUUAAAAAUUCAGACAGCAGCGUUUAAGGAGCCAGCCAGGCUGAUGACUCAGCUCAUAAAACAAUGUGUGGCCACAAAGAUGAUGUUUAUCCAGGAGCAUUCUGGAGGCUCUUGCUACCGAAGCCGGCAAGCUGUGGGUAUGUGGUACACGAUGCUCAUUCUCCCAGGAGUUUCUGCAGCCGUGACAAAGCAGCACUCCCCAGCUGCAACUCUCCCAGCAGUGGAUCUCACACGAUGCUCUCCCUAAACAGAAAGUACUAUCUCCUCUCCUGUGAUGGUUACCUGAGUGUCAGUCAACUUGAGUGGAUUAAGAGACAUUUAGAGCAUUGGUGAAAACACCGUUUGUUGUGUUUGUGAGAGUGCCGGCUGAACAACAGUAUCCUCUCUACUUUGCUUCCUGAUCCUCCAAGAUAUUAAAGAACAGCCUCCUGCUCCUCCUGGCAUGGUGGCCAUGCCCCCUCAACAGUGAACCACAAUAACUCUUCCUCUCUUAACACAAUAACUUUUCCUCUAUUAAGUUGCUUCUUUGUUGGUGGUCAUGAAAAAAACAACAAUGUAUCCUUCUUCAAUCCCUAUCUCAGAACUGUGGCUCUGUCUUGGUUACUUUUCUGUUAUUGUGAUAAGAUAUCAUGACCAAGGCAACUUACAGAAGAAAGAGUUUACUGGAGGCUUACAGUUUCAGAAGGCAAGAGUCCGUGACCAUUAUGGUGAGAAGCAUGGCAGCAGGCAAGCAGGCAUGGCACUGGAGUCAUAGCUCAGAUCCUACAUCUUGAUCCACAAGCACAAAGCAGAAAAAAAAAAGUUAACUGGGAAUGUCAUGGGCUUUUGAAACUUCAG
rnacentral:lncRNA from 1 species